rnacentral:piRNA from 1 species
UGGCACAAUAAUUCCUCUGUUGUUGGACCU